UUAAGGGCAGAUGGUGGAUGCCUUGGGUAGGAGAGGCGAUGAAGGACGUGGCGUAACUGCGAUAAGCCUCGGGAAGCCGUGUAGCAGGCUAUGAUCCGGGGAUUUCCGAAUGGGGAAACCUACUAAACAACUCAAUGUUUAGUGCUUUAUCAUUUAAGAUAAAGAGCAAACCUAGGGAAGUGAAACAUCUCAGUACCUAGAGGAAAAGAAAAAGAUGCAAAACUUUUUUAAUUUUAAUGUUUCAAGCAUUUCAGCAGUCAGCUUUUAGCCAUAAAUCUUUACGGCUAGAAAGCUGGCAGCGGAUAAUAUUAAAAAUGUUUUGCCCAUUCCUUUAGUAGCGGCGAGCGAAAAAGGAACAGUCUAAACUUAUUUGUGCUAUGCACAAAUAGGGGUUGUGGGGUCAAAAAUAUUCAUUCUUAAUUUAAUAGAAGAACAGUCUGAAAAGGCUGGCCAAAGAAAGUGAAAGCCUUGUAUUUUAAAUUAAAUAAAGAAUGAUUUUGAUACCCGAGUAUUUCGACAAAUGAGUAGGUCGAAAGAAUCUGGCAGAACUAUUCUGCUAAGACUAAAUACUCUUCUACACCGAUAGUGAACUAGUACCGUGAGGGAAAGGUGAAAAGAACCCCGGAGAGGGGAGUGAAAUAGAACCUGAAACCAUUUUGCCUACAAGGACCCAGAGCCCGCAAGGGUGAUGGGGUGCCUAUUGAAGAAUGAGCCAACGAGUAAUACUUAUCGCUUUAUCUAAGUCAUCUAAGAUGACGGAGGUAUAGCGAAAGCGAGUAUGAAUAGUGCGAAAAGUAUUUGUUUUGAAGCUUGAAACAAAUGCUUAAAGCGAUAAGUAAUGACCCGAAGCCAAGCGAGCUACCCUUGGACAGGAUGAAUCUUGUAGAAAUACAAGAGGAGGUCCGAACCCGUGAGCCGUGCAAUACUCUGGGAUGAUCUGAGGGUAGAAGUGAAAAGCUAAUCGCGCUUGGGAAUAGCUGGUUCUCCUCGAAAUAGCUUUAGGGCUAGCGGUUGCCGUAACUUUUUUGCAGGUAGAGCACUAGUUGAGACAGAUAGGGAGAAAUCUCGCUGCCUCAGUUAAACUCCGAAUGGUAAAAAAGUUGGCAACUAGUCAGAGUGUGGGGGCUAAGCUCCAUGCUCGAAAGGGAAAGAACCCGGACUUCCAGUUAAGGUCCCUAAAUUUUGACUAAGUGUUUAAGGUAGUAAUCAACCACAGACAGAUAGGAGGUUGGCUCAGAAGUAGCCAUCCUUUAAAGAGUGUGUAACAACUCACUAUCAGAAGUUUUGCAUUUUGCAAAACUUGGUUGGUUGCGCUAAAAAUGAAACGGGGCUAAGUCAAAUACCGAAACUGAAGAUAUCAAUCUUUGGAUUGAUAUGGUAGAGGAGCAUUCUAUAUGCACUGAAGCAGUAGUUGUAAAACGCUGUGGAGCGUAUAGAAGAGAAAAUGUUGGCAUGAGUAACCUACAAUCCUGAUGAAAUAUCAGGAGGCCGAAAACCCAAGGUUUCCUACUCAACGACAAUCGGAGUAGGGUUAGUCGGUCCUAAGCUGAUGCCGAAAGGCGCAAGUGAUGGACAGCUGGUUAAUAUUCCAGCACUUCAGUUCCUUGUGAGGGAGGGACAAAGUAUAGUAGAUGAAGCAUUUUAUUAGAUUAAUGUCUUUUACUGAGGACGCGUGUUUGGCAAAUCCGGCACGCUGGAUUAAAUUCCAAGUCUAAGGAAAAAAGCGAAGCUCUGUAAUUAGGGCGAAGUUCAUCGAGCAUGCUUUCGAGAAAAGCUUCUAAACUUAGAGGAAUUGAAACCGUACCAAAACCGACACAGGUGGGUGAGGCGAGAAGCCUAAGGCCAACGAGUGAUUGGUCCCUAAGGAACUCGGCAAACAAGCUGGGCGUAAGUUCGCAAGAUGCCCUCCCUGUUAAAUUCCGCGCAAGCGGAACCAUUAACAGGGCGCAGCUAAAGUUUUUCUGGCGACUGUUUACCAAAAACACAGCUCCCUGCAAAAUCGUAAGAUGACGUAUAGGGGGUGAAACCUGACCGAUGCGAGAAGGUUAAAACCGGCGGUGAGAAAUAUUUUAUUUCGAGCUGACUGGUCGAAGCCCUCGUCAAUGUCGGCUGUAACUAUAACGGUCCAAAGGUAGCGCAAUUCCUUGUCAGGUAAGUUCUGACGCGCAUGAAAGGUCCAACGACUGGAAAACUGUCUCAGGGACUAGCUCGGUGAAAAUGCGAAUCCGGUGAAGACGCCGGGUACCUGCGGCAAGACGAGAAGACCCCGGGAGCUUUACUGUAGCCUGGUAUUGUUUUAGGGGUUAGGUUGCGUAGUGUAGUGGGGAGGCGAUGAAUUCUAGCUUUCGGGCUAGAAGGAGCCGACAAUGAAACACCCAUCUUCCUAAUUUUUAAAACUAAUUUAAAAGGAAAAAACUUUUAAUGACAGUGCUUGGCGGACAGUUUUUGUGGGGCGCAAUCCUCCUAAAAAGUAACGGAGGAGUUUAUUAAGGUCAGCUUGCUCCGGAUGGAAAUCGGAGUGAAAGUGUAAAGGCAAAAGCUGGCUUAACUGCAAGAGUGACAACUCGCGCAGAUGCGAAAGCAGAACUUAGUGACCCGAUAGCUCUUAAUAGAAAGGCUAAAGACAACGGACAAAAGCUACCCCGGGGAUAACAGGCUGGUGAGGUCCGAGAGUCCACAUCGACGACCUCGCUCGGCACCUCGAUGUCGGCUCACCACAUCCUGGGGCUGGAGAAGGUCCCAAGGGUUGGGCGGUUCUCCCAUUAAAGUGGUACGUGAGCUGGGUUCAAACCGUCGUGAGACAGGUUGGUCUCUAUCUGCCGUAGGCGUUCGAUACUUGAAAGAAGCUGUCCAUAGUACGCAAGGACCUGGAUGGACGCACCUCUGGUGUACUGGCUUUCCUGCUAAGGGAAUCGUCAGGUAGCUAUGUGCGGUUUGGAUAAGAGCUGAAAGCAUCUAAGCACGAAGCCAUUCUUAAGAUAAGGUAUCGUUAAGAGUGCUAGUAGACUACUAGCUUGAUAGGCGUUAGGUGUAAGAACAGUAAUGUUUUUAGCCAAGACGUACUAAAACUCGAAAUUGCGAACA
rnacentral:rRNA from 1 species